rnacentral:rRNA from 1 species
ACACGACUACAUUAGAUACCCGCGUAGUCCCAGCCCUAAACGAUGCGCGUUAGGUGUAUCGGUGACCACGAGUCACCGAGGUGCCGAAGGGAAACCGUGAAACGUGCCGCCUGGGAAGUACGGUCGCAAGGCUGAAACUUAAAGGAAUUGGCGGGGGAGCACCACAACGGGUGGAGCUUGCGGUUUAAUUGGAUUCAACGCCGGAAAUCUUACCGGGACCGACAGCAACAUGAAGGCCAGGCUGAAGACUUUGCCGGAUUAGCUG